rnacentral:rRNA from 1 species
UGGGGAAUAUUGGACAAUGGGGGAAACCCUGAUCCAGCAAUGCCGCGUGAGUGAUGAAGGCCUUAGGGUUGUAAAGCUCUUUUACCAGGGAUGAUAAUGACAGUACCUGGAGAAUAAGCUCCGGCUAACUCCGUGCCAGCAGCCGCGGUAAUACGGAGGGAGCUAGCGUUGUUCGGAAUUACUGGGCGUAAAGCGCGCGUAGGCGGUUACUCAAGUCAGGGGUGAAAGCCCGGGGCUCAACCCCGGAACGGCAUUUGAUACUGCCAGGCUGGAGGACGGAAGAGGAGGGUGGAAUAUCCAGUGUAGAGGUGAAAUUCGUAGAUAUUGGAUGGAACACCGGUGGCGAAAGCGGCUCUCUGGUCCGAACCUGACGCUGAGGCGCGAAAGCGUGGGGAGCAAACAGGAUUAGAUACCCCUGUAGUCC